CUGAGCUCACACACCCGGGAAGCGGCCACGGCAAAGCCGGAGUCCGCAGCGGCUGCGCAUCUCGCGCCUCCCGUGGGGCGCUCAGGGGGCGCCGAGGAGGUUGUGCGGUCCACUGGGAGGGAUGCGGACGCCGGAGAGGAACGGCAAAUGACAGAGCAGAGGCAAGGCUGGCCCAGCCAAUCCUGGAGCCGCUGCAGCACUGGUUCCCCAAACAAACACAUUCUGGUGCAAGGACAGAGAGCAGGGGGCUGCUGGCCCACACCCCUCCCCUGCCCUUGGCCCCCUUGCUGCUCCCCUGUGAGAAGGGCAGCUGGACAGAGGCUGCCUUGGGCCAGGGUGGUGAUGGUGCUGUGGCCCCUCCCUGCUGCCCAGCGUGGGAAGAAGAAUGCAGAGUCAGGCAAGUCUCCCUCUGUGUCCUCUGGGGUGGAAAGAGCAGGUAGAGACAGGGCUGGGGCAGCCAGGGCCUGGCUGGCAUUGCUUUGGCAUCGGUGGCGAGAGGGCUGUACCUCCGGCCCCUUGGGUUUGGUUUUCUCGGCCUGUCCCUGGCACUCAACAACUGCGUCUAUGUGCUCAUUGGUGCCACCAUGUUAUAUAACGCUUAUAUAAUCUCCCAGGGCGAGUGCUGUGUCUCCACUCUCAGGUCACACAGACACUGUGUCCGUGCGGAAGUCAGGAUCUGUGGACGCUUCUAUGCCCUCAGCUUCAACCUGGCUCCUUCUCCUGAUUCCGACUGCAGGAGGGGGAAAUGGGAGAGCAGGGGCCCACUCUACCCCAGCUGUCUGGGGCUGAGAAAGAGGGGUUGGCUGGGCAGCCUUCCUAAUGUUCUUGCCCAGUGCACCUUCUGGUGGAGUGGAUGCCAUUCUUGUGCUCUGAGGCCAGUUUUUUGUUCUUGAGGUCCCCUGGCGCGGCAAAUGGGUGUGGUGAGAUGACCCCCAGAAUGUUGCAGUGGAAGAAUACAUGGUACAUAGGGUUGGAUAAAGAGAGUGAGAAAUUAACUCUGCCUUUGAGGUUUUGGGCAAGAGUGGCUAGAAGGAUGGGAUGGCGGUGGCAUUCUAAGAAAUUUGGAGCAGGCCUAAGGGCUAGAGGAUGGUCAGGGAAGGGUGUACAGGGAAGUGGAUCAGACAGCAAAGAUAAACAUGGUGUUCUUUUACUGUACUCUCCACUGGGCUGUCCCUGGUUGCCAGGGCAACAGAAGCAGUGAUGAAAAUCAUGCCUUUCGUUCAGUGGAAAAAUCUGGCUCCUCCUCCCGCCUCUUCCUUCUCUAAUUGUCUGCAACCUAUUGGGAGGGUGAUGGCUCUAGGGAUCAGAGACCCCAGCGUGUUCAUAUCAGGCACCCCCCUUCCCCAUUUUUUGUCAUCUUCCGCCUUCCUGCAUCCCCUGUCUCCCCCAGAGCUCAGUAAUUGGCAGUUGCGUAGGAGUUGGACUGGAUGGAGGGGGAAGGGCAUGGACGUCAUUGCAGGGCAGGGUGAGCAGAGCGUGGGCAGAGCUGUGGAUACAGGAAUGACUGGCACACGAGGAGGGUCAGGCAUUGAUUAGCUGGAUGGAGGCUUGUUCCUGGGAUGGUAAGACCUGGGGUGGGAAGGGUGGGUGAGAUGAUGGAAGGCCUGCAGAACCUGGCAGUCUGGGCUUGCAGUGGUGGUAGGAAAUAGGAAGGCCCUGAGGUUUCUGGUGUGGUUGUGGGUCCUGAGGAAAGUUAGAACUCAUUCAUUCAGCACUUUUUGUGUGCCUACCAUGUUAGGUAAGGUUCUGGGAGCUGGGAAGACACAAGUAAGUAGGACUGGGCUUUGACCUUGAAGAGAUCAUGGUAGAUGAGAGGAGGAUGGGUAUAUGGGGGAAGAUCAGCUGGCAUUGUUACAAGCCCAGAAUCUGGGACUCCAGGCAGGAGAUUGGCAAUAUUCCAGACUGGAGGUGAUGGAUUAGGGUGGAGCGUGUGAGAAUGGAGAAUGCAGAGGAAGAGGUAGUUCAGAGAGCCCCUUUGGCUUGGGGACAGAACAUGGCGAAGAGAAGGCGCUGACAUUUUGAGCCUUAAUGAUUGACAGAAAUAGAAACAUCAGGGUUCAUACUUAUUUGGGGUAGUCAUGUUUGAUUUGCUUUUAGACAUAUUGCCCAAGACAGAGGCAGAGUGUCUUGAUGGAAAUGUUUAUGCUCGGACAAAUGAAAUUUGCGAUGGAAGUCAGUUCUGGGAAGACGUUUGGAGGAAAUUGUAUUAUGAAGCCUUGAAGGUAUGAGGUUGUUGAGAAGGUAGUGUAGAGAGAGAUCCCAGGGCCUGGGGCAUCGGCCUAGAAUUGGGUGAGGCUGUAUGCCUUGUACUUGUUUAUUAUCCCAGGGCCCGCCCAGACUGCUGGACCAGUUUCUGCUGAUGAACGCCUACGUCUUCUACCAAACCACGCCCCAUUUUGAAGUUCAGGUUUCUGUUUAAGUUUUCUUCUCGCUAGUAGCUAUGUCCAGUAGGAUAUGUCCUGGAAAGAUAGAUAUAUACAUUUACCUCUCCAAGCUCUCUCCUUGACCUUUGCUAUACCAUUCACUUAUAAAUUACUGAGAGGCCCUGGGAUGUGCUAAAGAGAUGUGCCAGAGGUCCUUAGCCUCCGCCAGCAAGGCUGUUUGUUCUGGUUCCUUUCCAGUCAUCACUCUAGAGGAAUAAGAGCCCUGGACAGAGUCAGGAGGCCUUUGCCAACUACCUGAUCUUGGACAAGUCACUUCCUUUUCCAGGCCUUAGCGUCUAGUCUAAGGGUCUAGUUUCUUCCAGAUCUAAAGCCUUCAGAUAUGAUUUCCAAAGUUUUUUCCACUUUUGCUCAGGUUUCCGAUGCAGGUGAGGCUUUUGAAACCAGCAGCCCAGAUUUCUUUGGAGUCUUGUGGGAGGGAGUAGGGGGAAUGGAGGCCUGGUUCCUAGAGCAGGCCCCUGUCUCCAGAGGGGGCGGGAGCCCUCCAAGUAGAGGGUGGCCCCUGUUCCUUUUGGGAGCUUGGGAGUGCUAGAAGAGCUGGUUUUCCCAGUGACCAGGAGUUGGAAAACUACAGCCCAUGCAUGGGCUGAUGCCUGCUUUUGUAAAUAAAGUUUUAUUGGAACACAGACAUGUUCACUGUUUACAUCUAUGGCUGCUUUCAUGCUACAUUGAUAUAGUUGGGUAGUUGCAACAGAGGCUGUAUGACUACAAGCCUAAAGUCUUUACUGUCUUGCCCUUCAGGAAAAAAAAUUGCUAAUCUCUGUCCUAGACCACCAGAAAAGUGCUUGGAUCACCACUGGGGAUGCUUACUAUGGCCAGAUUCCUAGGGUUCUUGAAGAUUCUGCCUUGGGCCUUCCUUUGUGAUCCUAUGACAGGAUGACGUGGCAAUUGAGAUGGUAGAUUCUUAGAGUCAGCCCAAAGAUAGUGAGCCUGGAUCUGGGAAACCCCUUUCAUUUUCAUCUGUCUUCCUGAAGCCUGGAGGGUGCCUGUCCCCGCAGUCCCUCACACGUAUACUUCUUUGAGCCCGGAGACCUACAUUCCUCAUCAGGGAAGGCUUGUGGCCUUGGUGUGACAAGCCACCCUCCCUCUCAUUUCCCAGGCCUAUUCAGAGGAGAAUGGACCAACCCAAACCCAGUGUCUGGUGAGGAGAAGGAGAGGCUCGUUGGUUCUGCCAAGUCCUGCAGCAUAUUUCCCUUGAUACCUUUGCCUUGUCACCUCUGGCCUCACUAUGCCCUUUAGUUCCAAGGCCCUGGAGAUGCAUCUGCAGAGAGAGCCUGCAACCCAGCCUGGUUUGUCUGCCUGAACUUGGCACUCAUCCGCUGUCGGAAUAAGGCCCCGCAGCCUGGGGUUUGUGGGGUGUGUGUCUGUGUUGGCUUGGGGCUGGAAUCAGUACUCAGGAUUCUUACAGCCAACCUUACAGAGUCCCCUUGUGUCCUGGUCUCUACCUUUUUUGACUUGGGCCUCAUGCUGGAGUCUCGGUGAAACUCCUAGGUAGGAACAGGAUGAAUUUCAAGCUCUCGCUUUUAUAAAACAGUAGCAGAAGAGCAGUUGGGUCACUUCUGCUCAGGGCUGAGGUAGGAAGUAGCAAGAGGAAACCGCGUGCUCAGAGCCGUGCAGGAGGGGAGCAGGGGGUUGGUAACUGAGGUUUAUUCCCAUUGCAGCUGGAAGGGAGGAGGCUGGCAGUGAGAGGAGGGAGCAGACGACCCCGAAUAGCAAAGGAGACAGAAGCUAAGCACACCCAGAGCUGCUUUUAGCUGGUAAUGUCCAGGAGGUAUGUCAGCUGGAUAUGUGCACGUGGACUUGUUUUUCCAACUGCCGUGACCAGAAGUGUGAUUUAAAAGAUGAGCAGCUGGAUUGAGAACUGCAGCUCCGGCUGGGAACAGAGGCCCUGAUUACUUUCUGCUGCAGUAGAGAUCAUCUCCUGCGUGCCCUGGACCCGGCAUCGAUGAGCAAGGCUUGUCUCCAGUGGGCCAGUCUUUGCUACUUAGACCACCGGCCAACCCGUCAGCUUCUCUUCUUGCCACACAUUUGUACAGGGCCUCCUGUGGAAAAGCCUCUGUGUUUCUGGAUGGAGUGGGGUGGGCACAGGAAAGGAAGGAAUGUGCCAGUGUGAAUGGGACCUGGUCUCUGUCUUCAGGGAGUUAAUGCUUAAUGAGGGAGAUAGACACCCAUGCUAAAUACAAGACAAAGCAUAAAAGGGACACGGAUGGAGUGUGAUAAACUGUUGUAUUAGCCAGAAGUGGGAAUUGGAGAGGUGGUGAACGUGAGCAAGGAGAUCUCAUCCAUCUGUUCAUGGCUGAAUCCUCAGAGCCUAGCACAGUACUCCAUCCCUGUCGGGUGCUCAGUAAAUGUGUAUUUGUUAAUAGCUGGCUGUUGAAGGAAUGGGGCUUCACCCCCAGGGACGAAGAAGGAAAUGUCUUGUUGGGAGGAGGUGGUCAUGUGCCCUGAGUGGGUGUGUGUGGCAGGAGAGGGGCUGUGUUCAGGGAGGGCCAGCCUCAGGGCAGGGCACCUGGACCAGCUUUUUCCAAGAAUUUGAUUUUGGUGGUUCUUAACCUCUUUUUGUGCCAGUUCUCAUUAGGAAUUGCAUGGAAACUGUAGUCUCUUGCUCUAAGAAAAAAAAUAAAAUCAUGACAGCACAUGAUUUGACAUAUACCAUCUGAGGACUCACAGAUCCCAAGGUAUAAAACCCUGCCAUAGGCUGGGGAGCCGCCAGUGCUUAUUGAGCUCUUUAAACAGGGAUAAGACACUUGUUUUUCCUGGAGUCUUUGGGAAUUGACUCAGAUGAGUAUAUACUGUGUAGGUAUUCUGGGUUUUAAGGUCAUUGGUAAGUGACAGCCACAAUAGUGGCCCUGAUGAGCUUAAGGAAGCAGUGGAGAAUUGGAGGGGGGUGGCAGUUGGCGGGCUCUGUGCACUGUUAUGGAGAGAUCCAGUGUUUGCUCCACUGAGCAGGGGAUGAAAAAAUUUACCUGAGAGAAGAUAGAAAAAAAUUAACUUUUAAAACAUACUAAUUCAGGGACUUCUUUGGUGGUCCAGUGGUUAAGACUCUGUGCUUCCAAUGCAGGGGGCAUGGGUUCUAUCCCGGGUCCGGGAACUAAGAUCCCAUAUGCCGCUGCAUGGUGCGGCAAAAAAAAAAAAAGAAAAAAUUUUAAGAUUAAAAAAGAAAAUUAAACGUACUAAUUCAGAAUAUGGAAUGCUUAUGCUAGUUUUUUUCUGUGACAUGUUUUCCAGCUCAGAUACCCAGCCAAGCAGUAAUUACAGACACAGAGAGGCAGUGUGUUGCAUUUCUGGGAACAGGGAGAGUGGAAGGGAGUUAUUAGAGUUUUAUAUCACCAAGGUAUUGGGUUCAGAGAACUCUAGCAAUUCUGACCCAUCAGGGAAGGCUGCUUGGAGGAGGAAUGUGGCAGGAUUUCAUGGGCCACUUGGAAAAGCAGAAAGACUGGGCUUAUUUUAAAAUUAUAUGGUUUUUGUUUCUGUUGUCAUAAAAAUUCCUAUAGAGUAUCUGUAUACCUUCAGUUAAAAAAUAAAUUAAAAAAACAAACUUUCUGUCCUCUAGGAGUUUGUAGUGUAUCUGCUGUACAGAUAGGCUGUCUGGAGAGUUAAAAAACCCAGUAUGGGCAGUACAGUGUUGCCAUUUCUGCCUUUGUGUGUCAUAGGUAAGUUCAUUCAUGGAGGGGUGAGGUUGGGGGGUGGUGAGGCCAUGCCUUGUCCCAGGGGACAAUGUUGAUUGAACAUUGGCCCUGUGCCAGGCUGGGUUAGAUGCUGGCCAGCACCGGAAGGCACCGCUGGAGUGGGAGGGGAGAGCCCUUGCGCUCCUGCACCCGAGUGUAGCAGGGGACAGACUCGGGGGUCUUGGGAGUAGCAUUGUCCGAAGCAUAUGGCGGGGAAGGGCUUGGUGGUUGCUGUGCAGGCUCUUCCACCCCUCUGCUGAUGUCCCCCCUCAUGGGAUUUGGCUUUGUGGGAAGGUUAGUCUGUGACAGAGUUUUAAAAGUUCUUUCGAAAAGAAGAACCCCUCCUGUUUUCCCCAGAGAGGUGUUCAGACUGCAAGACCAGACACCUUGAUGGGUGGUGAAAUCAAUCAAUUUAGUGGGUUGGGACCAAUGUGGAAAAAAAAAAAAAAAGACUGUAACAGAAAAUAUUAGAUUGCAUAGUAUGUAGUAAAGAUGAGUAUGAUUUCAUGAAAGUCUCAGUCAUAUAUAUAUAUAUAUAUAUAUCUAUAUAUCUCUACAGAUAUAUGUAUCUGUAUACACACAAGUGCACAUGUAUGUAAGUGCCAGGCCACCAGGCCACCUUGUAAACUUUUUUUUUUUUUUUAAUUUUAUUUAUUUAUUUAGUUUUGGCUGUGUUGGGUCUUCAUUUCUGUGCGAGGGCUUUCUCUAGUUUUGGCGAGCGGGGGCCAUUCUUCAUCGCGGUGCGUGGGCCUCUCACUGUCGCGGCCUCUCUUAUUGCAGAGCACAGGCUCCAGACGCGCAGGCUCAGUAGUUGUGGCUCACGGGCCUAGUUGCUCCGCGGCAUGUGGGAUCUUUACAGACCAGGGCUCGAACCCGUGUCCCCUGCACUGGCAGGCAGAUUCUCAACCACUGCGCCACCAGGGAAGCCCCUAAACUUUCUUUCUUACUGUGGGUUAGGGUCCAGAAAGUUUGAGAAACAAGCACUGGAAGGAUUUGUUUGCUCUUAGUGUAGAGCAUGGGUUCCAGCCGCUUCCCCAGAGGCCAUCUCUAUGGAGACUUUUUUUUUAAGAGCAGCAGAGUCAGGCUGUCACAGCAUGAUCUGAGGUUGGUCUGCGGCUGCUUACCCACUCCUGCCCCCACUUCCCUGUGCCUGGUGUUUCCUGCUGUGGCGAGCUGGGGAGAGAGGCCAGGCAGACCUCACCAGGGGUGGGAGCAGAGGUCGCCUCCCCUCCCAAGUCACCAGGUGUGACCCCCUGGAGUGCAGCAUCUCCAGCCCCUUGCCUCUUCUCUGGCUUCUUGACUUGAUUAGCUAUUUCCAUACCAAGGGCAGGGAGAGGAAGGCCAUCCUGACUUAUUACUUUGCCCCGUUGUUCUCUGUUUCUCAGGGGCAUUGGGUGGGGAGGUUAGAGUUCACACUGUCUGGGGGGUGGAUCCCUGGUAGGCUGAAGUGAGCCAGCUCCCCCCUCAGAAUGACCACUUAGCUCGGUAAUUCUCUGGCUCCAUCUUUCCCACAGAGGAGAGGAGCCUUUCUUGGAUCGUAGUUGCUUCUUCCAUCAACUGUGCUGACCGGCCUGCAGAGCGCUGACCCACUUGUGGUACCUCAAAUAGAGGUUUAAAUUAGGACCUUUAAUCUGUAAGAGGCUUACAGCCUGUUGGGUGGCCAGCUGCUCUGGACUUCUCUGUGGGCAGAGCUGGGCUUGGCCAGGCUGUUGUUGGGUUGAGGGAAUCAUGGGGGUCGGUGGCUUCCUUGCAGGAGUGACCAUACGUGUGGCCUCACUCAUGGAGGCCUGGGAACAGCAGGAGUCCCAGGGAAGCACAGUUGUUUGCCCAACACUCCUUUUGCUGUUGGCACUCACACAGUCCCUGGGAGUGGGUGGGUACCAUCUCUGGCUAUGGGACAGGGUGGUGGGCUGUCCUUGUAGUGAUGGAGUGGAAAGCCCAGAAUUCCAUGGGCCUUGGGUGCUGGUGCUGCUGCUUCUGGGCACUGAGCCUGGCUCCUUGCCGAUGUGCAGUUAGCUCUGCUGGCUCAGUGUGUGUUUCCAUCCCACAGAUGCCUAUUAACCAAGAGCUGUGUGUCCAGUAUGGUGCUGGGUGCCAUAGGGGCACACAGAAACACGAGACUUGGGGCCUCCCCCAAAUCGCUCCUUGUCUUUUUGAGGAGACCCGACUAGUACAUAUCAAAGCAUUCAUUUGUCCCACAGACACAUACUUACUUGGCUGGUAGCUGUUCCCAGUAGCAAAUUAUAAAGUUCCAAAGUAAUAGGCAUGGGGGGGAAGUUCUUUGGGAGGCCUGGGAAGGGAGAGAGCUAUGGGGUAGUGAGAGCUGGGCCUGAGCGGUGGGAUUUAGCAGGAUGGGGAGAGGGGAGGUCGUUGAAGGUGGGAGGAACAGUGUGAACAGAGGCCAGGAGAGUGCGUGGUCUUCCUCUAAGCGCAGGCUGCUGGAGCCUCUUCCUCCCCUCCUGCUUCUUAAAAUAGUCCCAGUUUCAGUCCUAGAAACUUACUCCUUCAAUAAAGUAGAGACAGAUCUCAGGUUCCCUCUUUUUUCUCCUGUUUAUCAUUAUAACAACAGUAAUGACUCCUGACGUUUAUUGAGCGCUUACUGCAUACCACUGUUCUGUGUGCUGUAGGUGGAUUGUCUCGUUAAGUCUUCCCAGCAAUGCUCUGAUAUCACUGUUACAUAUUAUUAUGUGCAUUUUACAGUUGAUGAAACUGAGGCAUAGAAAGGUUAAAUGACUUGCCCACGGUUACAUAGCAAGUUGGGUCAGAAGUCCACCUGAGGCAACCUGAAAGCAGAGGCCAUGCUCUUAACCCGCUGGUUCCCAAACUUGUCUGAACAUUGAAAUCACCAGGGAAUCUUAUAAAAUUUCCAAAGCCCCAACCAAUUACGUUACAUGCAGACCAGUUACAUCACGGUCUGGGGGGCGGGUGGGGUGGGGUGGGGAACUCUGAUAUGAGUAGUUUUUGAAGUUUCCCAGGUGAUUGUAAUGUGCCAGGUUUAGAAACCACUGUCUUAACCUCUGAGUUUUAGGGCCUGUGAGUAUUUGAUUGAAUACAUUUUUAUACUCAAGGCAGAGGGGCCUUCCCCCAGGCCUGUAUCACCUACCAUUUCAUAGGGAGUAACUCCAGCUUCUUGUCUGAGGGAGCAGGACCCCUGUCACCCCACAGCAUCUGGGACUCCCCAAGAGUGAAGCCUGGGUGGGCUGGAGUGGGCAGAGGGAGGAUGGGUCGCUUGGCAUCAGUGCCCGCUUCCCCCUCUGAGUGCCGCCUUGGGGCAGAGACUGCUUUCAGAGCCCUGGAGACCUCCGACCGUGGUUUCUCACGCCUUCUGCUCCCCUGGGCCCCUGAGUUCAUCGGGGAAGGGAGAGGGUCACAUGAGGGCACGUCGCUUCUCGACAAGUCUCGCUCCUCUCUGCCUGUCCCCGGGUGAACCUGAAAUGGACACGAAGUGCAGAGUCCUUUGGGUGACUGGGAACAGCACUAAAUUUAGCAAAACUAGCUGGUGGGUGGCCGGCCUGUAGUGAGCCAAACCCAGCCCCAAGUGGACUAGAUUUUAUAGUCGGCAAUGCAGCCAGUGUAGUCUGUGCUUGGGCAAGUCUGUGGUGAACACGGGGGGAUCUUUCCAUUUCGAAGGCCCGGCAGCUUGUCUGCCAUCCUGCAGGAUCCCAGGCUCUGUCCCCGCGAGACUUGGGUCCACCCCCAACCCCGCUUGGGACCGGUCUUCCAUCCGUCCCUCCCUCAUGUGUCUGGAAGCUCCACUCCAGUACCUUGGCCUUGGCCUACACGCUCUUCUAGGCCUCUUGGCCUGCGUUGCCAGCCUUCAUUCCCAAGGCCCUGGAGACCAGGACCUGAGCUUCGGUCAGUUUUUCAUAGGGUAUCUGGCAUCUUAGGACACUUUUCGGUCACGGUUGUUGAGUGGAGGUAAGGAAAGAGCUGGGCUGGUUAGUUGAACAAGGUUGUGAGGGACUGAGAUGUAUGUUCCUUCCUCCCAGAAGCUCAGUCAGGUACGUGGCACCAGAGUGAGUCACGAUGUGGAGUGACUGUGGGUGGGCUUUGAUGCUCUUUGACGCUUGGGGCUCUCUUUGCUGGGCUCAGUCUUCUGCCCUGUUGUGGACUACAUCUGGGAGGACGUGGGUUUUGCGGAACUGGGGAGUGGAGGUCUGCUGGUGACAGAACAUCUUCCCCUUCUGGGCCUCCUCCUCCCCCGUCUCAGAUCUGACAGUGGCGGCUUGCCUGGCGGUGCCUCUGUUGCCUUAACGUCCUGAGAAAUAAUGAGCAGCCUACAUUUUCUCAGCCCUUUCCAAGGCGGACCAUUACACUUUGGCCAGGGCUGGGGUCUUGUCUUUGUGACACGAUUCGUUAGUAUAAGGCGGCGGUUCUCAGCCAGGGGCAGUCUUGCCUCCAGGGGACGUUUGGCAGCAUCCAGAGGCCAGGGAUACCACGAAAUACUGUAUAACGUACAGGGCAGCCCUCCCCACAGCAAAGAAUUAUCCGGUCCUAAACGUUGAUAGGGCCGAGGUUGAAAAACCCUGGUGUAGGGGGACAGCCUUUUACAAAUGGCCCUAAGAGGUCAUAUCAUCCAGAUCCCUGCUUCCAUGGGAAAUGACUUGAGACCAGGAGCUAUGUAGACAUUGCCUUCUCCCUUUGCCCCCCGUCUCCCUCCCUCCUCAGCAUGUACAGUGCCCUCCAACAAUCGUGUUCAGGAGGUUGUUUCCAGGGAGUCUCUUCAACCGCGUAAUGGCCCAGUUUCCCAUAGAAUCCCACCGUUAAGCACCCACGUGCUGCAGGUGGUCAUCUGGGAGGCUUGGUGCAGCUGUAUCCUUGGUGCGCUUGCACGAGCUCUGAGAUGAACUUCAGGCACACCA